rnacentral:rRNA from 1 species
UACGAAGGGGGCUAGCGUUGCUCGGAAUCACUGGGCGUAAAGCGCACGUAGGCGGAUUGCUAAGUCAGGGGUGAAAUUCUGGAGCUCAACUCCAGAACUGCCUUUGAUACUGGCGAUCUCGAGUCCGGGAGAGGUGAGUGGAACUGCGAGUGUAGAGGUGAAAUUCGUAGAUAUUCGCAAGAACACCAGUGGCGAAGGCGGCUCACUGGCCCGGUACUGACGCUGAGGUGCGAAAGCGUGGGGAGCAAACAGG